UGGGGGCACCCUGAUCCAGCCAUUCCGCGUGAGUGAAGAAGGCCUUCGGGUUGUAAAGCUCUUUCGGCAGGAACGAAACGGUUACGGCCAAUACCCGUGACUAAUGACGGUACCUGAAGAAGAAGCACCGGCUAACUACGUGCCAGCAGCCGCGGUAAUACGUAGGGUGCGAGCGUUAAUCGGAAUUACUGGGCGUAAAGCGUGCGCAGGCGGCUUUUUAAGCCAGAUGUGAAAUCCCCGGGCUUAACCUGGGAACUGCAUUUGGAACUGGAAGGCUAGAGUGCGGCAGAGGGGGGUAGAAUUCCACGUGUAGCANUGAAAUGCGUAGAGAUGUGGAGGAAUACCGAUGGCGAAGGCAGCCCCCUGGGUCGACACUGACGCUCAUGCACNAAAGCGUGGGGAGCANACAGGAUUAGAUACNCUGGUAGUCCACGCCCUAAACGAUGUCAACUAGUUGUUGGAGGAGUGAAAUCCUUUAGUAACGAAGCUAACGCGUGAAGUUGACCGCCUGGGGAGUACGGUCGCAAGAUUAAAACUCAAAAAAAUUGACGGA
rnacentral:rRNA from 1 species